CUCAUCCUUGCGAGACGAAAUUACGGUGAAUGAAAUGACUGUGUAGCUCACGACGAGGGUAAAUCACGUCGAGCGUUUAUUUGUGUUUGAUUGUGCUCGUGUUAAACCGCGGAGAGUGUGUAUGAGAGCUGUGCGAUGAUGGAGAAGGGCAGGGGGGAUGCUCGCUAACCCAUUGCAGCUAGGCUGUCUGCCUGCCUUCAGUCCGAGGCGCAAUAAAGGCGAGAUCUGGCAGUAGAGGUUGGGGGAAAAUGUCACUGACCGCCUUGUUGGCUAUUUAAAAAAGAACAACCGGGAACUGUCACAAUAAGUGGUCCACGUUAGCUUUGGCACAUCACAGACAACUUGCCCUCACCCUGGUGGAGAUCCUAGUGUGAAGAGCAAAAGCAAGAGGCACGCCUUAACAUCAGUAAAGGAUGAUGGUUUGUUAAUGACAGCUGGGCUGUUAGUCGUGUUAUCGGUCUCUGCUUGCUGUGCUGCUUGAAGCCUGUCAAAAUGUACGGCAGCUCCCGCUCGGUGAGCAAAAUGGAUGGCAAUCACGGCAGCAGCCGGGCCAAUCAAGGCAACUCAGGCCGAUCCCCAAGAUUGCCUCGCUCCCCUCGCAUGGGCCACCGCCGCACCAACAGCAUGGGGGGCAGUGGUGGUGGACCCGGAGGCUCUGGAGGUAAGACCCUCUCCAUGGAGAACAUCCAGUCUCUCAAUGCUGCCUACGCUACGUCUGGCCCCAUGUACAUGAGUGACAACGAGGUGGCUCUUGCCACUUCUUCUGACAUCCCCAAGAGUGGAGCUGCCACUGGACGCUUCGGGGGCAGCAUCCCUUAUGGCGUCCGCGGGACUGUCAUGGGCAGCACUCCGGACAUGGCCAUGGUGCCGGCAGUGUCCACUGACUCCAUGGGCUUUGGGAGUGAGCUCCACAGUGCCUCCACUGUCCCACACUCCCUGCGCCAAGCCCGGGACAACACCAUAAUGGAGCUCCAGGCUCAGCUGAAAGAGGUUCUGAGAGAAAAUGAGCUUCUGCGCAAAGAGGUGGAGGUGAAGGAAAGCAAGCUCAGCUCCUCCAUGAGCUCCAUCAAGACCUUCUGGAGCCCUGAGUUGAAGAAGGAGAGAGCACUGCGCAAGGACGAGGGCUCAAAGGUGGCCGUGUGGAAGGAACAAUAUCGUGCUGUGCAGGAGGAGACUCAGCACCUGCAGACCACGGUGCAGGCCCUGCAGGCCGAGCUGCGCAUCCAGCGGGACCUGAACCAGCUGCUUCAGCCACCAGGUGAGCCACUGGCAUGUGAGCCGGGCGAGGAGCAGGAGCGACAGGCACGGGAGCUCUUCCUGCUGCGCCGCACCCUGGAGGAGAUGGAGCUGCGUCUGGAGACCCAGCGGCAGACACUGGCUGCCCGGGACGACUCAGUCAAGAAGCUGCUGGAGAUGCUGCACAGCAAAGGGCCAUCAACCAAGGCCAGUGAGGAGGACCACGAGCUCACUUGUCGCCUGGCCGAUGCAGAGAUGCACGCACAUCACCUAGAGAACCUGCUGGAGCAGCGCGAUAAGGAGAUGGUGGCUUUGCGAGAAGAGCUGCAUCGCCGCCUUGAAGGGACGCCAGAGUCUACAAAAACCAAAGCUCUGCAAACCGUCAUCGAGAUGAAGGACUCUCAGAUUGGUUCUCUGGAGCGGGGUCUGAGGGAGCUGGAGGACCAGGUCAUGAUGCUGCGUUCCAGUAGCAUGCUCAGCUGUGAGGAGCGACAAGAGGAGGUCAAACAAAUGGAAGUCUACCGCAACCACACCAAGUUUAUGAAGAAUAAGAUGGACCAGGUGAAACAGGACCUGUCCAGGAAGGACACCCAGCUCCUCGGCCUGCAGACCAAACUAGAGACCCUGACCAACCAGUUCUCUGAUAGCAAGCAGCACAUUGAGGUGCUAAAAGAGUCCCUGACUGCCAAAGAGCAGCGUGCUGCCAUCUUACAGACAGAGGUGGAUGCACUGAGGUUGCGUCUCGAGGAGAAGGAGACACUGCUGAAUAAGAAGAGCAAGCAGAUCCAGGAUAUGUCUGAAGAGAAAAGCACCCUCAAUGGAGAGAUCCACGACCUCAAGGACAUGCUGGACGUUAAAGAGCGCAAAAUCAACGUGCUACAGAAAAAGAUUGAGAACCUCCAGGAACAGUUGCGGGACAAAGAGAAGCAGAUGGGCAGCCUGAGGGAACGAGUGAAGUCUUUACAGACUGACACCUCUAACACAGACACAGUUCUUACCACCCUGGAGGAUUCACUGGCCGAGAAGGAGCGCAUCAUUGAGCGUCUGAAAGAGCAGCGUGAUCGUGAGGAGAGGGAGAAGGUGGAGGAGCUGGACAGCAGCAAGAAGGAGCUGAAGGAGCUGAAGGAAAAAGUGAGCUUACUGCAGGGAGACCUCUCAGAGCGAGAGACUUCUCUUCUGGACCUCAAGGAGCAUGCAUCUUCACUAGCCUCAUCUGGGCUAAAGAAAGACUCCAAACUGAAGACUCUGGAGAUUGCCCUUGAGCAAAGGAGGGAAGAGUGCUCUAAGCUGGAGACCCAGCUGAAGAGGGCCCAAAACGCAGCGGUAGAAGCCCAGGCCAACUCCGAGCUCUCGGAUCGCAUUUCCUCGCUGGAGUCUGAUGUGUCCAGGCACAGAGAGGAGUCUGGGAAGGCCCAGGCUGAAGUAGACCGCCUGCUGGAUAUCCUGCGCCAGAUGGAGAACGAGAAGAAUGAGAAGGACAGGAAAAUCAAUGAGCUUGAGAGUGUGGCUUCAAGGCAGAUGAAGGAGCAGGUUAAGAAGCCCUCCGCAAAGCACAGGGAGCCGGCAGGGAAGGGCCGAAACAGCAGCGAUGCCCCACAACAGUCUCAGGAGUCUCUGCGGCAGAAAGCGGAGCGAAUUGAGGAGCUGGAGGAGGCGCUGAGAGAGAGUGUGCAGAUGACUGCUGAGAGGGAGAUGGUGCUGGCACAGGAGGAGGCAGCACGCACCCACCAGGAGAAACAAAUGGAGGAGCUGCUUGGAGCGAUGGAGAAAGUAAAGCAGGAACUCGAGUCCAUGAAGGCUAAGAUGUCGUCCACGCAGCAGUCUCUGGCCGAGAAGGAGGCCCAUCUGACCACGCUGAGGGCCGAGAGGAGGAGGCACCUGGAGGAGGUGCUUGAGAUGAAACAGGAGGCUCUGCUGGCUGCUAUCAGUGAGAAGGAUGCUAAUAUCGCCCUGCUGGAGCUAUCCUCCUCAAAAAAAAAGAAGACGCAAGAGGAAGUGGCACAGCUGCGCAGGGAGAAGGACCGUCUGGUGCAGCAGCUCAAACAGCAGACACAGAACCGGAUGAAGCUCAUGGCGGAUAAUUACGAUGAUAGCCACUUGAAAACUCCACCUGACCAGACCAACCACAAACCUCCGAAAUCUCCCGAUCAGAUUAAACCUGGGCGGAGAGCUACAGUGCACAGGAGCUCCACAUUAGCCAAAUGAUCAUCCCGUACAACCAGAGAAGAUUCCACCCACCUCCAUCCAUUUCUGUAGAACACCCUGCCCAUAGAUUCACCACACCACGGACCAAGGACCCUCAGAUGGCGCCCAAACACCAACACAUUUUGCCUGAUCCUGGGUUGGUGAGAGUCAGACUGAUGCUGUGACCGUAUCCUGGACUCUUCUUUAGACCAGCAGUGAAUGGGCCUGUCUUACAGGAUCCACCGGCCGUGAUCUGACCCUCCUCUCUCCAGCUUCAUCACUCUCUCUGUUCUCUGUUCUCCUCUCUGCUCUUUUAAAACCGUCUAAAUCCCCAAUCCUUCUCCUGGUCUUCAAAGCCCUAGUCAAGACAUUUUAUAUUGAAAUAAGUUAUAUGUAAAUGAAUUGACAUCAAACUACUCAACUCAUUAUACCUGUAAAUACAAUAGAUACAAGUAGUUUGGUGAAAAAAAGAGCUCAGAAUCGCCUCCAAGAUAAAAAAAAUAAUAAUAA